rnacentral:rRNA from 1 species
GACGAACGCUGGCGGCGUGCUUAACACAUGCAAGUCGAACGCUGAAGCCCUUCGGGGUGGAUGAGUGGCGAACGGGUGAGUAACACGUGGGUAAUCUGCCCUGCACUCUGGGAUAAGCCUUGGAAACGGGGUCUAAUACCGGAUAGGACACAUCGCCGCAUGGUGUGUGUGUGGAAAGUUCCGGCGGUGCAGGUUGAGCCCGCGGCCUAUCAGCUUGUUGGUGGGGUGAUGGCCUACCAAGGCGACGACGGGUAGCCGGCCUGAGAGGGUGACCGGACACACUGGGACUGAGACACGGCCCAGACUCCUACGGGAGGCAGCAAGGGGGAAUCUUGCGCAAUGGGCGAAAGCCUGACGCAGCAACGCCGCGUGGGGGAUGACGGCCUUCGGGUUGUAAACCUCUUUCGACCGGGACGAAGGAUUCGUUUGACGGUACCGGUAGAAGAAGCACCGGCUAACUACGUGCCAGCCGCCGCAGUAACAC